UACGGGGGGGGCAAGCGUUGUUCGGAAUUACUGGGCGUAAAGGGCUUGUAGGCGGCCAACUAAGUCCGACGUGAAAUCCCCAGGCUUAACCUGGGAACUGCGUCGGAUACUGGAUGGCUUGAAUUCGGGAGAGGGAUGCAGAAUUCCAGGUGUAGCGGUGAAAUGCGUAGAUAUCUGGAGGAACACCGGUGGCGAAGGCGGCAUCCUGGACCAUUACUGACACUGAAACGCGAAAGCCAGGGGAGCAAACGGG
rnacentral:rRNA from 1 species